UCGAGAAUUUUUCACAAUGGGGGAAACCCUGAUGGAGCGACGCCGCGUGGAGGACGAAGGGCUUCGUGCUCGUAAACUCCUGUCAAGCGGGAACAAGAAAGUGAUAGUACCGCUAGAGGAAGAGACGGCUAACUCUGUGCCAGCAGCCGCGGUAAUACAGAGGUCUCAAGCGUUGUUCGGAUUCAUUGGGCGUAAAGGGUGCGUAGGCGGUGUGGUAAGUCGAAUGUGAAAUCUCGGGGCUCAACCCCGAAACUGCACUCGAUACUACCAUGCUCGAGGAUUGUAGAGGAGAUCGGAAUUCACGGUGUAGCAGUGAAAUGCGUAGAUAUCGUGAGGAAGACCAGUUGCGAAAGCGGAUCUCUGGGCAACUCCUGACGCUGAGGCACGAAGGCUAGGGGAGCAAACG
rnacentral:rRNA from 1 species